GAUGACAUGCAUUCCUGAGAAUUGCUUCUCAGCAAUCACCGAAACCUUAAUUGCUUGUAUCUGUGUCUUUUAUUGCUUGUUUUAAGUCACAUGACUGAGAAAUCCAAACCACCCUUUCCUGUGGCGAUUUCAUUAUUCUACAUUUAAACUUGUGUGAAUAUAUAUAUAUUAGUUGUCAGGGUGUGGUUUUCAACAUAAUAUUAGAUUUUCUCCCUUUUUAAGCAGACUCCAACCUCAGAGUCAUCCCAAAUGACCUCAUGAUGAAAAGUUCUUAUAUAUAAUUUGAAAGCCAGAUGCCAGAAGGUUAAUAAUUAUGAGAUGGAAAUAUAAAGGUUGAGCUUGCCUGCUACCCAUGUAUUGAAUUUCUCAAUUGCUGUGUUGAUCUUUAGUUGCUUUCAUGUCAUUAUCAGGUCAAUUAGUUCCAUUCUUAGCAUACUCACACCCUUAUUAAAAGUACAAUGACAGUGAUAGUUUCCAAAGACUGUCAUGGACAGUUUUUACCAAGUUAAUUUGGCCAAGAACUAACUAGGUUGUAUAAUGAUGUUUCAGACCUGGGAAGGAAAAAAAAAAAAAUCACUGGACUUUGAGAGACUUCCUGCAACGGUCUAGGCAGGAAACAAAAAUGAAAAUUUGUUUGGAAAUAGUCAAUUUCAAAUCUCCCUCUAUAUAUCCAAGACUUUGGGAUGCAGAGAAUAAUCCUAAGACCAAUUAUCCACACUCUAGCUGAGUCUGAGACGCCAACCCUUCUCAAGAAGUUGUGUUAAUGUAAACAGGUAUCCAAUGGCUUUAGGUUAGACUUGACAGGAGAGUGCAAAGAUAAGAAUGGUGAGCUGUUCUCAUCACCCCUGGGGUUCUGAGCUUGCACGGUUAGUAGAAAACACAGACACUGCUAAAGAGGUCUCGGGGAGACCGAUGGACAGAGCUCUGUUGCUUACGGAGCAGUGGGAACAUCUGACAGUUUUGUCUCAUUCACUUUCCAUUUGGACAGGUUCUACAGGCCCAUGGUUAGAGCCAGAGAUGGAGUAAUGGUAUUUAGGGGGGCGGGGAAUUUAUACUCCAGUGAUAAAACAACUUAGAUCUGCAUUUAAAAAUCACAAAAGAAGGUAAUGCUAAGAAGAAAAAGAAGACGAAGUACAGGAACUAGAGGCUUAGGAGUUUCACUUGAAACAGGUCUACAUGAGUUGCCCUCUCUUAGGAUAUGUAUUCUAAUUAUCAGACCAAGGCCAAGAAGAAAACCAUAUAAAUAUCUGAGAGAAAAAUGACUCCAGGAAGAGGGAAUAUCAAGAGUCUGGCGAGUAUGAGCAAAAGAAAGGAGGCUAACGUGAGUGGACUCCACGGGCUGAGACAGGUGUAGGAAGAGGAACAGGGUCUGAGGUCAUGGGGCAGGCUUAGGAUUAUUAAUUGCUCUGAAGGGAUCACUGGGAGAUUUCCAGGCAGAGGGAGAAUGGGAUUUAAAAUAAAGUUUUAACAUCAUUGUGGUGAUGGACUGUGAACCAGAUGCAAAAGGACCAUAGACUGUUGAUAUACAAGCCACUGAGAGAAUAGGUUGGCUUCAGUGGCAGUGGUAGAGAAGAGGGGUUGUCAGAUUGACUGUACAGUUUUGGAAGUUGGAAUAGCAUAACUUCCAAAUGGCCAGGCUGUCUUAACAAACCUAACUCUGUCUCAUAUAGCUGUUCCCACCCUAGCCCAACUAGGACCAUUGGGAUUGCACUAGAUCCAGUAGCAUGGAGUAUUACUUAGCAACACUAGUAAUUUGGGGCUUCUCUUCUUCAACCACAAAAAACUAAAUUCCAUCCAAGGAGAAGUCUCUGUUUGCUGCUUGUUACCUUCUGACUGUCAAAAUUCUAUCCUGUGUCAAGACCAAUCUCAUAGGGUUUGUGGUUUUGAUUAUGGUGUUUCUGGUAUGUGCUGGAGUGGUCACAUUCAGAUAGUUUUUUCUGAGUAUUUUGACAGUGGUUGUAUUUACCAACUCCUCGACUAUGCAGUUGGUCAGUGCCUCCAUAUAAAUGCUAACAUUGAGAUGGCAAGUGCUUAAGGAGCCCUUUCUAUCUGAAUGUUCUUUGCAUGCCAUGUUUUAAUUAAUUCAGUCAUCUUAUUCAUUCUUAUGAUAAUUGGGUAUUCUUGAUGUGGUCUUACAGAUGAGGAAAUGAGAUGUAGUAAAAGACAUUUAGUCAUUUGCCCAAGUUCCCAUAGCUGCCAAGUGACAAAGCUAGGCUUGGUACUGAACCUGAUUAUAAAGCUCUGGGUCUCAGCCACUAUGCUGUGCCCCUUGCACUCGGUUCUCCUUCAUUUUUUCCUUCGCAUGUGAAGCUGUCACCAAAGCACGACUUCUUCCUUCAGGAUGCAUUCCACCUGGCAGGGCUUGAAGAUAUUGGACAGGACGGCUCCUCUCCAAGACGACUCCCAUCUAACACACCUACCAUCCACCCAGACAGAAGCACACUCCUUCACCUAGGGCUGGACACAGUUGCCAACACCAAGGGCCUCUUGCUACAUACUCUUCUUGUUCUCAAGUUCCUCCUUCCCAUCCCUCAUAGCUCCUGCGUUGUGCCCACCUUCCACCUCAGGCAGGUUUCCUUGGUCUGAAAAGGCAAAAAUUACCUAUAAGCCAUGCAAAGUGGUCUAGUUACUCCCUAGGGCUCAAGAAACUUAAAAACAACAACAAUAACAACAAAAGUCAUUAAUUUUGUGGUCAUCACAAUAUUUGUUUUUAAAAUAGUGGAGGUUUUCCUCCAGAGUUUCAUUAGGAGACAUAAAGCAAGCCCAAGGACCAUGAUGGUUUCCCUCUGUUUUCUUAACCUUCCCCUCUACAUUUGCUGCUGGUGAAUUCUUCUCUCAGAGGACCUGACUUCCCAAUAAACGGCAUGAAAGCAGCAGACCUUUCCCUCCUCCUGGUAAUGAUAAUAAGAAUGGAUUUGUAGAACUGAGAGUUAUACAAAAAAAUCGAUUAAGAUCUCCUUAGUCUACAUAAUAAACUCUUCAGCAGUGACUGCAAGGUAGUAACUGUGAUGACUCAUGAUGCUGUAAGUAAACUCGAUAAAUAUUUCAAUUAAAAAGUGAUAACAAUCUUUUGUCCUGCUAUAACCACCAUAGGGUAAUUUUUUAUAGAGACUGAUAGGCAUUACUGGGAGUGUGAUCGUUAAUCAAAUCAUUCAUUUGUUUGUUUGAUUUUUCAAUAAAAGUGUUAUUAAAAUGUCAUAUAACACAUAUCACAUAUUUCUCCUAAUUUAAUUAACUCCCAGAUUCAAAACUGCAAAAGAAAAGGGAAAGUAUGUUUUUCAUUAAGUUUUGAAGGUUUCCCUGGCAGAAUCAAUUAAUUAAAUGUUAAAAACCAUUUCAAAUAUUUGAAAAUUCUCCAAAAUACUACAAAAGCCUAAUUUAAAAACAAAUUCAACUUAAAGUCAUGAAGUUCUUUCUUUAUUGGAACACUGUAUAUCAAGUGUAGCUAUGCCCUCAGGUAACACCAAGUCAUUCAGGGAUCAGAGCAACAUGACAGCUAUGAGAGGUUCACAGAAUUCAUUGCAUCGCCUUGCUCAGCAUUUGACAGGAUGUGUCUGGUGUUUCUUUUAGUAACUUCUGAUUUGACCUUCCAGAUAACUUCCUAGACAUCAUACCAGUGUUCUUACCUGUGACUUUUAAAUUUUUAGUUUUCUCCUGUCUUAAACUAAUGGGGC
rnacentral:lncRNA from 1 species